GACGAACGCUGGCGGCGUGCCUAAUACAUGCAAGUAGAACGCUGAAGGAGGAGCUUGCUUCUCUGGAUGAGUUGCGAACGGGUGAGUAACGCGUAGGUAACCUGCCUGGUAGCGGGGGAUAACUAUUGGAAACGAUAGCUAAUACCGCAUAACAGUAGAUGUUGCAUGACAUUUGCUUAAAAGGUGCAAUUGCAUCACUACCAGAUGGACCUGCGUUGUAUUAGCUAGUUGGUGGGGUAACGGCUCACCAAGGCGACGAUACAUAGCCGACCUGAGAGGGUGAUCGGCCACACUGGGACUGAGACACGGCCCAGACUCCUACGGGAGGCAGCAGUAGGGAAUCUUCGGCAAUGGACGGAAGUCUGACCGAGCAACGCCGCGUGGGUGAAGAAGGUUUUCGGAUCGUAAAGCUCUGUCGUAAGAGAAGAACGAGUGUGAGAGUGGAAAGUUCACACUGUGACGGUGUCUUACCAGAAAGGGACGGCUAACUACGUGC
rnacentral:rRNA from 1 species